rnacentral:rRNA from 1 species
GGUUAAGCGACUAAGCGUACACGGUGGAUGCCCUGGCAGUCAGAGGCGAUGAAGGACGUGCUAAUCUGCGAAAAGCGUCGGUAAGGUGAUAUGAACCGUUAUAACCGGCGAUGUCCGAAUGGGGAAACCCAGUGCAAUUCGUUGCACUAUCGUUAACUGAAUACAUAGGUUAACGAGGCGAACCGGGGGAACUGAAACAUCUAAGUACCCCGAGGAAAAGAAAUCAACCGAGAUUCCCCCAGUAGCGGCGAGCGAACGGGGAGCAGCCCAGAGUCUGAAUCAGCUUGUGUGUUAGUGGAACGGUCUGGAAAGUCCGACGGUACAGGGUGAUAGUCCCGUACACCAAAAUGCACAGGCUGUGAACUCGAAGAGUAGGGCGGGACACGUGGUAUCCUGUCUGAAUAUGGGGGGACCAUCCUCCAAGGCUAAAUACUCCUGACUGACCGAUAGUGAACCAGUACCGUGAGGGAAAGGCGAAAAAGAACCCCGGCGAGGGGAGUGAAAAAGAACCUGAAACCGUGUACGUACAAGCAGUGGGAGCACCUUCGGGUGUGACUGCGUACCUUUUGUAUAAUGGGUCAGCGACUUAUAUUCUGUAGCAAGGUUAACCGUAUAGGGGAGCCGCAGGGAAACCGAG